rnacentral:rRNA from 1 species
GCUAAUACCGCAUAUUCUCUGAGGAGGAAAGUAGGGGAUCGAAAGACCUUAUGCUUUUGGAGCGGCCGAUGUCUGAUUAGCUAGUUGGUAAGGUAAUGGCUUACCAAGGCGACGAUCAGUAGUUGGUCUGAGAGGACGACCAGCCACACUGGGACUGAGACACGGCCCAGACUCCUACGGGAGGCAGCAGUGGGGAAUUUUGGACAAUGGGCGCAAGCCUGAUCCAGCAAUGCCGCGUGAGUGAAGAAGGCCUUCGGGUUGUAAAGCUCUUUCAGUUGAAAAGAAAAAGCCGUGACUAAUAAUCAUGGUUCAUGACGGUAUCAACAGAAGAAGCACCGGCUAACUACGUGCCAGCAGCCGCGGUAAUACGUAGGGUGCAAGCGUUAAUCGGAAUUACUGGG